rnacentral:rRNA from 1 species
AUACGUAGGGUGCGAGCGUUGUCCGGAAUUACUGGGCGUAAAGAGCUCGUAGGUGGUUUGUCGCGUCGUCUGUGAAAUUCCGGGGCUUAACUCCGGGCGUGCAGGCGAUACGGGCAUAACUUGAGUACUGUAGGGGAGACUGGAAUUCCUGGUGUAGCGGUGAAAUGCGCAGAUAUCAGGAGGAACACCGGUGGCGAAGGCGGAUCCCUGGGCAGUACCGGACGCUGAGGAGCGAAAGCAUGGGUAGCGAACAGGAUUAGAUACCCUGGUAGUCCAUGCCGUAAACGGUGGGCGCUAGGUGUAGGGGUCUUCCACGACUUCUGUGCCGUAGCUAACGCAUUAAGCGCCCCGCCUGGGGAGUACGGCCGCAAGGCUAAAACUCAAAUGAAUUGACGGGG